rnacentral:lncRNA from 10 species
GCGGGGAGCCGGCCCGGGAAAAGCCUUUUAUGGACAGGACCCUGCCCGGACUUACGGCUGCUCCUACUUCACUGUUCUCUGGCCCCGAGUUUGAGAAGAGGGGGAGUUCAAUAGAGUCUGGCUGGAGAGAGGGGCAAGGGGCUGGGGAGCCGGGAAUCCCAGGGGUUUGUGGGGACAAACCAGCCACCCUCUCCUCCUGGGGCUUUUAGCUCUGAUGGGACAUGGGAUCCAACCUUUCCUGAGGACCUACUCCACACCAGGCCCUUUGCAGUGCUCUCAUUGAAUACUCACAGCUACAGUGUGAGGGUGUAAUUACAUCCCCAUUUUAUAGAUGAGGAAACUGAGGCCCCGAGUGCGUCUUCCUCAAGGCCACAUGGUGAAUGGUAAGUGGCAGAUCCUGCACACCUCUGCCAACCCGCAUGGGUGCAGGAGAGGUGGUCAGACCCACCCUUUCAAUUGGACCACCCUGCUCAGGUUGAGAAGAGCUUUCAGUGCAGGUAGGUCUUGAGUUAUAUGCUUUAGUUGGGGCUGGGAUUUGAGGGUUCGGCAGAAGCUGAGUCCAACUCCGGUCCCCAUCCAGUGGGCAGUGUCAAUAAGAGGGUCUAUAAGGCCUGGCAGGGCCUGAGACACUAACGCAGGAGAAGGAGGCUCAGGAGGCUGGUAUCAUCCCUUCCUCCCUUUAGGAACAGUCCCUACCAGCCUGGAAAACAGACCAGCCUCUGUCACUCCAGAGAUAACCCACUCUCAUCUUGCUCGUACCUGGCUUCAGGGAUCUUGGGGAGAGAUAAGAGGUUAAAAAAGAUUCCUUGGCCCCCAAAUCAUGUCCUCCUUAGCCGACUGAAGUCUAAAUGAAUCUUUCAGGGACAUAUCAAAACUCCCUCCUCUUGGAGCCUGCCCAGCUUUCAUCACCCUCCUGCCUCGGCCUGCACGCUGAGCGGAUUAUAAACGCCGCAUCAGGGAGCACUGCUUGGGCCUGUGGCUUGAAAACGGAAAUGCAACCAUAGCAUGGAGACGCUCUGAGAAAAGAUCCAGACCCACCUCAUCUCCCA